ACAUGCCUACAACAUAGCCUUGAUGCACGGGAUCCCAUUAGAACUCCGUAGUUAAGCAUGCUCAGGCUAGAGUAGUACUCGGAUGGGUGAUCGUGACCGCCUCAGAAGUCCUAGUGUUUUACAUGCC
rfam:Picea glauca, whole genome shotgun sequence.